rnacentral:tRNA from 1 species
GAAGAUAUAGCUCAGUGGUAGAGUAUAUGCCUAGCAUGCACAAGGUCCUAGGUUCAAUCCCCAGUAGUUCCA